UGUGUGUCGUAGUUAACGCGUUAAACAGGGCGCCUGGGAAGUACGGCCGCAAGGCUAAAACCCAAAGGAAUUGACGGGGACCCGCACAAGCAGUGGAGCGCCUGGUUUAAUUCGAUGGUCAGCGAAGAACCUCACCUAGGCUUGAACUGUAGCUGCACGCUCCCAGAAACGGGAGAAUCCUUCGAGGGUGCUACAGAGGUGCUGCAUGGCUGUCGUCAGCUCGUGUCGUGAGAUGUAGGGUUAAGUCCCACAACGAGCGCAACCCCUAUUCAGUGUUAUAAUUACUCUGAAGACUGCCCUGUCCAAACGGGGAGGAAGGAGGGGACGACGUCCAGUCAUCAUGUCCCUUAUGUCUAGGGCUACACAGACGCUACAAUGGCCGGUACAAUGGGUUGCCAAACCGCGAGGUGGAGCCAAUCCCAUCAAAGCCGGUCCCAGUUCGGAUUGCAGUCUGCAACUCGACUGCAUGAAGUUGGAAUUGCUAGUAAUCGCGAAUCAGCACGUCGCGGUGAAUACGUUCUCGGGUCUUGUACACACCGCCCGUCAGGGCACGGGAGUCGCUCUUGCUCGAAGUUCCCGAAUAAUUCGGGACCGAAAGUUAAGGGUGGCAACCAGGCUUAAGUC
rnacentral:rRNA from 1 species